GACAGAGGCCUCAAGCGUUAGGCGGAAUCACUGGCGUUAAAGCGUGUGUAGGCGGAUCGUUAAGUGUCUUGUGAAAUCCCACGGCUCACCCGUGGAACUGCUGGGCAUACUGGCGAUCUUGGGCCAACUAGGGGCAACUGGAACAAGCGGUGGAGCGGUGAAAUGCGUAGAUAUCGCUUGGAACGCCGAAGGUGAAAACAGGCUGCUGGGGUUGUGCCGACGCUGAGACACGAAAGCCAGGGGAGCAAACGGGG
rnacentral:rRNA from 1 species